rnacentral:lncRNA from 1 species
GUGAAGGAAUAGGAACAGAUGUGGGAAGUGCAUUGAGGUGAGGACUCUGACUGAACUCUUUGGCUAGAUGCUCCCUGUUGGGUGUUACUGGGAGACAGAAACAAAGUUUUCCAGAGUGUUGGCAUUACAGGAAUGCACCACCACACCUGACUGAGAGAGUUUGUUUUGACUGGUGGAAACAGAAGCGGCUUCCUAAAAGAGAAAAAUGGCAGAUCUGGAAUUCCUGGGGCCACAUUCCAGGGACUGGACACCGGCUGCUUCCUGAGGAUGCGGGUGGAGGAGCUUCUGACUUCACAGCCCCUGCAGGCCCUGAUGUCCAGUUCUACCCACAGACAGGACAGGACUGUUGUAGCCUUCAUGCCUGGUCUAAGCAGCCUCUCAGGAACCCCCUGAGCCCUGGAGUCCACACAACUCCAAAGCAGCUCAGUUAGGGGAGAGUCAGGGACCCCCAAAUGCUAAGUACCCAGACAUUCUUCAGACCUCUACAUAAUUCAGGCUUAAAAAUGACCUAGGUUGAGUCUGCUGUCAUGUUUUUGGGAUGAAGAUGAAAAGAGAAGUGAAAGUGUCUAAAGAGAAGAGCUCUUCCAUUUCUUGCACUGCUGAACUUGUGAAGAUUCCUAUCCUGUUCAUAAGUAGGAGACCAAGAAGUGGAGAGAGAGGAGAGAGGAAGUAAAAAGAAUCAAGCUGUGUUCUGUACAUCUACCAACUACCCAU